rnacentral:lncRNA from 1 species
GCAGAAUGAGGAUGGGGAAGCACGUGUGGACAGGGGAUGUGGCGUUGAGGGCGCAGAUGCGUCCCCGCCAACUUGUACGGCACCAACAGGCGGUGGGCGUGGCUGAUCUCUCGAGCGGCUCCAUUGAUUUAUGGUGAGAGGAAGUGGUUCAGUUACCUGUGCAAGGAGAGGUAAGUAGAUCCGUUUCUGUUGAAUUUAAUUGAUGAUGAAGAAGGUGAAGAGGGGGAGGCCUGCUGUGGAGAAGGGCAAGAGGCAGCGAGCCUACCAUGGGGAAGGAGAAAAGGGCGUAGUCGACCGCCAUGGGGAAGCAGCGCCGCCGGCGGAAUCGACCGUGGAGAAGGAAGUCAAGGAACCAGCGCCUGAUUUGAUGGGCCAG